GUAAAUAAUCGAGCGAGCUGGACCUCUUAACUUUAGACACAACAUCCUGUGUAAUUCAAGAUGGCUAUUCAUCAGAUUUUUUUACAAAUGAAAGAGGUUGCAGACAAGGAGACCCCAUAUCCCCUUACAUAUUU